UGCAUUUGAUGAAUAACACAAAUACCAAUUAUAUGCAAGUCAAUAAUGUUGACAGUGAGAUAGAAUAAGUAUGCCCGACUAGAUCCUUUUGAUUAUAGGUUGCUGCAUUCGAUGAAUAGCACAAAUACCAAUUAUAUGCAAGUCAAUAAUGUUGACAGUAAGAUAGAAUAAGUAUGCCCGACUCUCUAAACGAAAAAGCCAUAGCAUUGUAUUAGGAUAAACGUUUGAGCUGCUGAAAACGUGAUUCUUUGAUUCUUGUAUCUGCUAGUGGCAUUCCAAGAUCUAUAGAAUUUGCAUUAAACAUUAACCCUAAUAGGAAGUAAUUUACUUUGUCAGUUUAGUUUAUGAUGAUCUCUCAGCUCAAUUUCAGCCCCUCAAUUUCAGCCCCUCUGAAAACAAAUAAGCUUUUUAAAGAGCUUGGCAUACAUUCCAUGUUAUCUUGCUUGCUUAUUUUUGUUCUAUUUUCACCCAUGUAAAUUAUAUUUGAUGGACAUGUACAUGCAGAAAUUUCCCUCAGGGAACCAUCAGUGAUAUGGUAACAGAUGCUUGUCAGGGGAUUUCAUUUAUCUGCAACAACAUCUCAGAAUAUGGAGGUGACCCAAACAGGAUUUACCUUACGGGACAGUCAGCCGGUGCACAUAUUUCUGCUUGUACUCUUGUGGAGCAAGCAAUCAGAGAAGCCAAGGGAGAAGAGAGCAUCUCCUGGAGUGUUUCCCAGAUAAAAGCAUAUUUUGGUUUAUCUGGUGGGCAAGUUACCAUCUUCCCCUCUCUCUCUCUCUCUCUCUCUCUGUCUCUCUCCCAAAAAGCAGAAGAGAGCUAGUUUAUGCUAUUCCAAAUUGUAAAAUUUGUAGUUAAUACCUUUUCAGAUCUAUGGAUUCAGAAAUUUCCAUUUC